UCGGAAGUUGCUACGGGGAUCUUCCU
rnacentral:sRNA from 1 species